CUGGGGGCUUUUUGACCCGGACAGGCCUCCACCCUCCUGCACCUGCCAGGCAAAACAGUUCCCUCUCCUGGUCUUGUGAAGGAAGACCCUGUGUCUUGGGAAGGAAGACCCUGUGUCUUGGGAAGGAAGACCCUGUAUGCUUGGUGGUUUCAGUGGUCAGAAUUUCCAGAAGUAAUAUUUGAAUACCAUGGGGGUUGCCAGUAAAAGGAAGAUCUUGCGUUGAAAACACCAACUUCACAAAGUGUAGAAAAAUUGUUUAGAACUCUUCAUUGUUACAGUUAUCACUUCCCCCAGGUCCCACAUCCAGAUCAUCUGAAGCAAAGUCCAAGCACUCUAUCACUUCAUCUGUAAGUGCUUCAGGGUGUACCUAAAAGGUAAAGGAAACCUGAAAUGUUUUUGAGCAGAGUGACCGAACCAAGAGCUGUGAGCAAAGAGCACAUGGAACAUGAAAAACAGUGGGGCCACUUGAUCAAACAGUGAGAGGCAGAGCUGGCUCAGCUGUGAAGGUGACAUUCUUUUAAGGCUGUAUGUUACCAAGUUUUCCAGGAUCGAUCCGAAUAGUAGUGAUUUUAUUGACUUAAUCAUCAAUGGUUCAGAACCAUAUUUUCUCAGUUUGCUGCCCAUCUAAACGUAUCUGAGAAAAUUGAUAUAAACAAUCUUAUUUACAAAGUGGAAAUAGAGACAUGGAUGCAGAGAAUCUUGAUAAAAGUGAAAGAGGAGAGUGAAAAAGCUGGCUGAAAACUCAACAUUAAAAAACUAAGAUCAUGCCAUCUGGUCCUGUCACUUCAUGGCAAAUAGAUG